CUUUUGUUUAGCUAAAAUCGGGCACCAUGAUGCCCUUGGUUGAGGGCCUGCCCUCUGGGACACCACAAAGUCAAUCUGUCCCCGUUCCACAUGACAGAUUCCACACUGUUGAAGACAGCACGUCCCCGGUGAGUUCGCUCUUUCCCUGGUUAAACACCCUGAUUUCUGAAAAACACAUCAGAGGAAGAACAGCCUGAGCGCCCUCGCUGACCUGUUUUGUCCUGUUGGUGCCCUUCAAUAUCCAUCUUCAAGUGUGACAGGAGCCAGCGCUGUUCUCCACAGGGCUUUGAGCCGGAAAGCAGGCCUGGGGUGAUCCAGAGGCCUGCAGACUGGUCUGCGUCAGUGUCCCUGGAAGCUCCUGCAGAGGCCCGGGCCCCAUUCUCAGAGAUUCUGGGUCACAAGCCUGAGGGGAAGCCCAGGUAUCUGCACUUUUAGGAAGCACUUCAUGGCCAGUUCUGUCGGCCAGCUGCUGUUCUAACAGGAAAGUAGAGAUGUGCUGAGCACAGAACUGAGCCCAUCGAGGAGUCAGGAACUUGUUUGCAAAUGAUGGGGACCCUGCUUGGGCAGCCCAAGCAAAUGACAAUGUGCUGGUGCAGGAGCUGCAAGGGAUUCUGGGAAAGCAGCAGGGACCCGGCCUUCGGGACUGGGUGGGGGACUCAAACCUCUUCUCUCCUCUUUUCUUGACUCACCCUGGAGUCAGACCUCUCGGGACGGUGAGGCUCAUGGCCAUGAGUAGCCCAAGUUCAUCCUCCCCCAGUGCAUCAACCUCUGGGAAAAGGCAUCCCUCCCUUUAGUAUCUUCAAAUUAAUUCUAGGGAAAG
rnacentral:lncRNA from 1 species